rnacentral:rRNA from 1 species
UACGGAGGGGGCGAGCGUUAUUCGGAAUUAUUGGGCGUAAAGGGCGCGUAGGCGGCUUUCUAAGUCAAAGGUGAAAUCCCUCGGCUCAACUGAGGAACUGCCUUUGAAACUGGACGGCUUGAGGCCGGGAGAGGGUAGCGGAAUUCCCAGUGUAGCGGUGAAAUGCGUAGAUACUGGGAGGAACACCGGUGGCGAAGGCGGCUACCUGGACCGGUUCUGACGCUGAUGCGCGAAAGCGUGGGUAGCAAACAGG